rnacentral:rRNA from 1 species
UUUAUGGAGAGUUUGAUCCUGGCUCAGGAUGAACGCUGGCGGCGUGCAGAAUACAUGCAAGUCGAGCGAACGGACGAGAAGCUUGCUUCUCUGAUGUUAGCGGCGGACGGGUGAGUAACUCGUGGAUAACCUACCUAGAAGACUGGGAUAACUUCGGGAAACCGGAGCUAAUACCGGAUAAUAUUUUGAACCGCAUGGUUCA